UGGGGAAUUUUGGACAAUGGGCGCAAGCCUGAUCCAGCCAUGCCGCGUGUGUGAAGAAGGCCUUAUGGUUGUAAAGCACUUUAAGCGAGGAGGAGGCUCUCUUGGUUAAUACCCAAGAUGAGUGGACGUUACUCGCAGAAUAAGCACCGGCUAACUCUGUGCCAGCAGCCGCGGUAAUACAGAGGGUGCGAGCGUUAAUCGGAUUUACUGGGCGUAAAGCGUGCGUAGGCGGCUUUUUAAGUCGGAUGUGAAAUCCCCGAGCUUAACUUGGGAAUUGCAUUCGAUACUGGGAAGCUAGAGUAUGGGAGAGGAUGGUAGAAUUCCAGGUGUAGCGGUGAAAUGCGUAGAGAUCUGGAGGAAUACCGAUGGCGAAGGCAGCCAUCUGGCCUAAUACUGACGCUGAGGUACGAAAGCAUGGGGAGCAAACA
rnacentral:rRNA from 1 species